UUUUUGUACAGUGGAAGUGUUUAUUCAUCUGCAGUUGAAAUGGUAUCUGAUAUGAGUAGACAACACUUCUGGAGUAAUACUGGAAAAGAAAGUAAUCUCUGACUUAUAAAAGGAAGAUACAUGCACAGAAUUUAUGAUGCUCAAAACUGUUCUUGGUUCAACAUGCCUGUCAUGGGCUGAGUGCUCAUUAUUUCCCUUGCAGUGAAACCAGGACUCAGAGAAGGAAUAACACAAACAAAUUCAAGGAAGAAGAAAGGAAACAGACCAGUGGCCUUUAGUUUUGCCUUGGACCAUGGAUGAUCUUAGUAAAAAACCCCUAUUGACUC